rnacentral:lncRNA from 1 species
CAGCCCUAUAGGAGACACCUCCAGAGAAAGUAACAACUCUCAGUUGAUUAGCUGAGAAUAAACAGAUGCUUUUACAGCUCGCAUUGGUGGGAAGAUCUGGCACAAAUGAAGUAUCUAUAAGGAGCAGCAGAGUCAAGGAAGACACCAAAUGAGCUACACUGUUUUGGACUCCCCAACACAACCCAGCCACCGGCUGAAUGCCACCAAAUUACCUUCUAGUUAAAGCUUUAUGGAGCAAACGAAUCACCUAUUCAAUAUCUGCUUGAAUUUCUGACUCAAAAUAUAUCAGGUAUGUACUGUGUGACUUAAAUAUUGAGUUUAUUUUUAUCAAGUACCUGUCAAGAAAGAAAGUCAAUUCUGAAACAGCAAAAGCUCAAAGUUCUACAGAUGGCUUUCAAAGGAAUUUGAAUUAGACAUCAUUUGAUGUUGCAAAAAACAAUGAUAUCUUUUAUAGCUCUAAACAUCAGUUUUUAAAUCAGAGAUUGAUCUAUAAA